UGAGAAAUUUCUUACGGAAGUGGUGUAGGUGCCCAACGCGUUCCUCCUGCCUGAUCCGUUCCCUAAUGGGGCGUCAGGAAAGCGGACGUGACGAAACAGGAAAUAGUGAGGAAUAAUUACAUACUUUCAGCGAGUGGAUGAGAUGGUCGAUGCGGCGAGUGAAGAGCAUUCAUUUUUUAGCAUUUAUUUGAUCGUUCUGAGAAAAAGUGUCCGGUAACAUACACACACACAUGUAUUGCCCGUCUUGUGGCCUUUGCUUCAUUCGCCUUAUUCACCCGGAACGUUCUAAAGACGUUGAGGGGUACACUUCAGGGGUACAUUCGGCAACGCACCAGCUGUCAUAGCGCCUCACUGUUGUGUGCCCAAAUGUUCGUCCUCAAAGAGAAAAAAUCCUACCGUGGACAGACUUUCCACCGUUUCCACAAAGAGCAGGCACUUCGCCGUGAAUGUAUAAAUCAAAUCAAGAGGGAUCCUGGUCCAUAUUUCAAGAUCAACGCUGAGACCAAGGUUUGCUCUGAGCACUUUGAGAAGCAGUGUUUUGUAAAGACCGCCCGUUGAAUCACAAAGCUUAUAAAGGAUGCUGUGCCAACUUUGUUCGCCUGGACUUAAGAGAGGCCAAAGAGGAGAAUCAUCAUUCGCAGACCGAGUACGGAUUCCAUGGAGGUGGAUGAAAACCAGCCUGAUGAGAACCAACCUGAUGUGAGAAGGGAUGCCUUGAGCACAGAUGUACCUCCUCCACACCCGUACCAUGAUUAUGCUGUUCCACCGCUGACACCAGAGGAACAACUUGAGGCGGCUCGCAAGCACAUCAUUGAGCAAGACAAGUUAAUAGCACAACUCAAAGAUAAAGUGUUCAGUGUGUCAAGAUUCCAGUGUGAUGAUAGUCCGAUGUCAUUUUACACAGGAUUCCCAGACUAUGCCACCUUUAAAGCUGUAUAUAUGGCUCUACAGCCCACAGCCACAAGCAUGGUAGGAUGGAGUCAGGCUCAAAGGCUUAGACAAACAGAGGUACAGGUCAUUAGACAGGCAUUUAAUAUCUCCAAACUAGCAACUAUGGACCAGUUCUUUCUCUUUCUCUGUUGCCUCAGACAGGGGUUUGCUGAGCAGGACCUUGCGGUGCGCUUUGGUGUGUCACAGUCAACUGUGAGCAGAAUCUGUCACCUGGGCUAAUUAUCGAUACUUCAUGUUAGGAUCUCUCCCCAUUUGGCCUUCAAAAGCCACAGUAGAUGAAUGUAUGCCUACUUGUUUUCAAAACACUUACCCAGACACCAGAGUCAUUCUAGACUGUACAGAAAUAUAUGUGCAAAUGCUUAGUUUGCAGGUACUUAACUCCAAAAUCUAUUCCCAUUACAAGGGCAACCCAAAUUUCAAAGGCCUGAUUGGAAUUGCCCCGUCUGGUGAGGUGUCAUUCGUUAGUGACCUGUACACAGGCUUCAUAUCCGAGAAGGAGAUUACAGAAUUGUCCGGCAUCCUAG